rnacentral:rRNA from 1 species
CGAAAGCCUGACGGAGCAAUACCGCGUGAGGGAGGAAGGCUCUUGGGUUGUAAACCUCUUUUCUCAGGGAAGAACAAAAUGACGGUACCUGAGGAAUCAGCAUCGGCUAACUCCGUGCCAGCAGCCGCGGUAAUACGGAGGAUGCAAGCGUUAUCCGGAAUGAUUGGGCGUAAAGCGUCCGCAGGUGGCAUUGAAAGUCUGCUGUCAAAGAGUCUGGCUCAACCAGAUAAAGGCAGUGGAAACUACAAAGCUAGAGUGCGUUCGGGGCAGAGGGAAUUCCUGGUGUAGCGGUGAAAUGCGUAGAGAUCAGGAAGAACACCGGUGGCGAAAGCGCUCUGCUAGGCCGUAACUGACACUGAGGGACGAAAGCUAGGGGAGCGAAUGGGAUUAGAUACCCCAGUAGUCCUAGCCGUAAACGAUGGAUACUAGGUGUUGCUUGUAUCGACCCGAGCAGUACCGUAGCUAACGCGUUAAGUAUCCCGCCUGGGGAGUAGGCAGGCAACUGUGAAACUCAAAGGAAUUGACGGGGGCCCGCACAAGCGGUGGAGUAUGUGGUUUAAUUCGAUGCAACGCGAAGAACCUUACCAGGGCUUGACAUGUCGCGAAUCCUUGUGAAAGCAGGGAGUGCCUUCGGGAGCGCGAACACAGGUGGUGCAUGGCUGUCGUCAGCUCGUGUCGUGAGAUGUUGGGUUAAGUCCCGCAACGAGCGCAACCCUCGUUUUUAGUUGCCAUCAUUAAGUUGGGCACUCUAGAGAGACUGCCGGUGACAAACCGGAGGAAGGUGGGGAUGACGUCAAGUCAGCAUGCCCCUUACGUCCUGGGCUACACACGUACUACAAUGCUACGAACAGAGGGCAGCUAACCAGCGAUGGCAAGCUAAUCCCGGAAAUCGUAGCUCAGUUCAGAUCGCAGGCUGCAACUCGCCUGCGUGAAGUUGGAAUCGCUAGUAAUUGCAGGUCAGCAUACUGCAGUGAAUUCGUUCCCGGGCCUUGUACACACCGCCCGUCACACCAUGGAAGCUGGUAGUGCCCGAAGUCAUUACCCCAACCUUUCGGGGAGGGGGAUGCCUAAGGCAGGACUGGUGACUGGGGUGAA